UCGAGAAUUUUUGACAAUGGGGGAAACCCUGAUCGAGCGACGCCGCGUGGAGGAUGAAGGUCUUCGGAUUGUAAACUCCUGUCAUUGGGGAACAAGGUGCAUACGUUAACUGCGUGUGUAUUGAUAGUACCCGAAGAGGAAGGGACGGCUAACUCUGUGCCAGCAGCCGCGGUAAUACAGAGGUCCCAAGCGUUGUUCGGAUUCAUUGGGCGUAAAGGGUGCGUAGGCGGCGCGGUAAGUCGGGUGUGAAAUCUCGGAGCUUAACUCCGAAACUGCAUUCGAUACUGCCGUGCUUGAGGACUGGAGAGGAGACUGGAAUUUACGGUGUAGCGGUGAAAUGCGUAGAUAUCGUAAGGAAGACCAGUGGCGAAGGCGGGUCUCUGGACAGUUCCUGACGCUGAGGCACGAAGGCCAGGGGAGCAAACG
rnacentral:rRNA from 2 species